AGUGAACGCUGGCGGCAUGCCUAAUACAUGCAAGUCGAACGACCACAUAGUAAGCUUUCUCCCUUACCGUUGGCGACUGACGGAUGAGUAAGACGUACAUAGCCAUCUUCUUAGACGUGAGUAACAACGUAGAACAGCUUACACUAACACCUCACACUUAGAACGGCAGAAAUCAGUGGAUCAUGGUGCCUUGCCUGAUCGAUUUAGCUGAUGUCGGAUUAGCUAGUUUAGGAGGUAAAGGCCUACCAAGGCAACGAUACGUAGCUGAUCUGAGAGGAUGAUCAGCCACACUGGAACUGAGACACGGUCCAGACUCCUACGGGAGGCAGCAGUAGGGAAUAUUGCACAAUGGGCGCAAGCCUGAUGGAGCCAUGCCGCGUGAGUGAUGAAGGUCUUCGGGUUGUAAAGCUCUGUUGUUGGGAAAGAAAAGCAGUGGGUUUAUCCGCCGCCGUCCUGACGGUACCUAAAGAAAAAGCCACGGCUAACUUCGUG
rnacentral:rRNA from 1 species